CACGAUUAUGUACGUUCAGCUCGCUCGACUUGGUUGUCUAAGUGAAGCCACUACUGCAACCCUUGCGCUCGCCGCCUACCCACUCAUUGUGCACCCCUUGGACGGGGUAUCAGACCCUAUGGUGAACCUUUGUCCACGAUUAUGGCCUAUUCUUUCGUCUAGCGUACUAGUCGAAUAUUUUCCGCCGCAUUCGACAGCGAUACCCUACCGGGGCGCCACGUAAUCGAUCAACCAUCCCAUUGCCGGAUGGUUCCGUUACUACGUAUCGGCUCAACUCUCUGACUAGCCGGUGUAACCCUGACUCUGUGCCGGGUUUGAGGAUGCCCUCCGUCGUCAUCCCUUAGAAGGUGUUACCUGCUUUCAGACUACCUCGUUGCGGCGCACUCACUUCUUCCAAAAGCCUAGCAUUUCGAGACAACAACCACUUCUUCCUAUCUCCAUCAUUGACCGGAAAUAAACUGCCAUUAGUUGGUCUUUCAGUGCCGAUUGAUGCACGGUCGUCGGCGCCAUUAUGCAUCCACCGUUCGCAACAGGCCUAAAUAACCCGCAUUUCGCUCGCGUCCGCCUUCUUAUUCAGACUACACUUUCGGGAGCCGAAUUGGCUCCUUGACGUAGCCUUUGACAAAAAGAACUCACGUCUUCUCCUCUCACCUUGAGGUACACAUCGCCACCUUACGCAUCUAUAUACCUUCUUGUGGUCACCGCUUCCGCCGAGAGACCAGACGUUGACUGCGACUCCGAGCUUUCGUACCCAUCGCUUGUCCUAAUCUAUGGGACCAUCAGGUACGGCAUUUGCUACUCACGAUUCACAACCCUCCAAAGGCGGAGAGUCACGACGUCGAUUGCGUAAUUCGUGAGGCGGACCCCUCAUGCUGGCGUUCCAACUUUGAGUUUCCUUAACUGCCCCCGGGCGUGUUCGCCACCUCGUACACCAAAUUAAGCUUCGUUGCGCUUCUUGGAAUGGUCCAGAACUGUAGAUCACGUUAGGCAUCUCUAUGCCUCAAGGGAAGCCCCUGUGAUUCUGUCCACCACGUACCGACAGCAGUCGAGCACAGCACUCUACAACCCAAUUCAGGGCGUUGCUCGCGUUGGGAACAGUAAUCAACGGUCGUAAUUCAACCCGUGAGAUUACUCUGACGGCCACUGUUUGGCCUCCUUCCACCCCUACUGCAGUUCAGUAGUACGGGGAAUACUGGACCCGAUGUGUGCACGAUGUUACCUGUCAUGUUGCUCCUCGUUCGGACGCUUCCGUUCGCUUAGAGAAUUUCGACAAGAGUCAAGCCUGACGUCAGACGUUGAGCUGACGUGCUUCGACCUUAGCGAUCAUUAGCGCCUAGUCGUGCGGCGCCACUUAUGCAAGGGCCCGGAACAUGUGUGGCGGGCAGUGUGGUACCCUCAGACGUUACGGGUUUCGGCCACCGGAUUGGAAGCCCUUCCUCGGCAGAUUCGUCCG
rnacentral:rRNA from 1 species